GGGGAAGAGUGGACAAGGGGCGAAAGCCUGAUCCAGCCAUGCCGCGGGUGUGAAGAAGGUCUUCGGAGUGUAAAGCACUGGAAGGUGGGAGGAAGAGCAGUUACCGAAUACGGUAGUGUUGGGAUGUUACCGACAGAAUAAGCACCUGUUAACUCUGUGCCAGCAGCCGUGGUAAUACAAGGGGUGCAAGCGUUAAUCGGAAUUACUGGGCGUAAAGCGCGCGUAGGUGGUUAGUUAAGUUGGAUGUGAAAUCCCCGGGCUCAACCUGGGAACUGCAUUCAAAACUGACUGACUAGAGUAUGGUAGAGGGUGGUGGAAUUUCCUGUGUAGCGGUGAAAUGCGUAGAUAUAGGAAGGAACACCAGUGGCGAAGGCGACCACCUGGACUGAUACUGACACUGAGGUGCGAAAGCGUGGGGAGCAAACA
rnacentral:rRNA from 1 species